UACGAAGGGGGCGAGCGUUGUUCGGAAUUACUGGGCGUAAAGGGCGCGUAGGCGGCCCCUUUUGUCGCGUGUGAAAGCCCCGGGCUCAACCUGGGAACGGCGCGCGAAACGGGGGGGCUUGAGUUCGGGAGAGGAGAGUGGAAUUCCCAGUGUAGAGGUGAAAUUCGUAGAUAUUGGGAGGAACACCAGUGGCGAAGGCGGCUCACUGGUCCGGUACUGACGCUGAGGUGCGAAAGCGUGGGGAGCAAACAGG
rnacentral:rRNA from 1 species